rnacentral:rRNA from 1 species
UUCGGUCUGGUGGCGAGUGGCGAACGGGUGAGUAAUAUAUCGGAACAUACCCAGUAGUGGGGGAUAACUAUCCGAAAGGAUAGCUAAUACCGCAUACGAUCUGUGGAUGAAAGCAGGGGAUCUUCGGACCUUGUGCUAUUGGAAUGGCCGAUAUCUGAUUAGCUAGUUGGUAGGGUAAAAGCCUACCAAGGCGACGAUCAGUAGCUGGUCUGAGAGGACGACCAGCCACACUGGAACUGAGACACGGUCCAGACUCCUACGGGAGGCAGCAGUGGGGAAUUUUGGACAAUGGGGGCAACCCUGAUCCAGCAAUGCCGCGUGAGUGAAGAAGGCCCUCGGGUUGUAAAGCUCUUUUGUCAGGGAAGAAACGGAGUUCUCUAAUAUAGGAUUCUAAUGACGGUACCUGAAGAAUAAGCACCGGCUAACUACGUGCCAGCAGCCGCGGUAAUACGUAGGGUGCAAGCGUUAAUCGGAAUUACUGGGCGUAAAGCGUGCGCAGGCGGUUUUGUAAGUCUGAUGUGAAAUCCCCGGGCUCAACCUGGGAACUGCAUUGGAGACUGCAAGGCUAGAGUGUGUCAGAGGGGGGUAGAAUUCCACGUGUAGCAGUGAAAUGCGUAGAGAUGUGGAGGAAUACCGAUGGCGAAGGCAGCCCCCUGGGAUAACACUGACGCUCAUGCACGAAAGCGUGGGGAGCAAACAGGAUUAGAUACCCUGGUAGUCCACGCCCUAAACGAUGUCUACUAGUUGUCGGGACUUAAUUGUCUUGGUAACGCAGCUAACGCGUGAAGUAGACCGC